GAUGAACGCUGGCGGCGUGCCUAAUACAUGCAAGUCGAGCGAACGGACGAGAAGCUUGCUUCUCUGAUGUUAGCGGCGGACGGGUGAGUAACACGUGGAUAACCUACCUAUAAGACUGGGAUAACUUCGGGAAACCGGAGCUAAUACCGGAUGAUAUUUUGAACCGCAUGGUUCAAAAGUGAAAGACAGUCUUGCUGUCACUUAUAGAUGGAUCCGCGCUGCAUUAGCUAGUUGGUAAGGUAACGGCUUACCAAGGCAACGAUGCAUAGCCGACCUGAGAGGGUGAUCGGCCACACUGGAACUGAGACACGGUCCAGACUCCUACGGGAGGCAGCAGUAGGGAAUCUUCCGCAAUUGGCGAAAGCCUGACGGAGCAACGCCGCGUGAGUGAUGAAGGUCUUCGGAUCGUAAAACUCUGUUAUUAGGGAAGAACAUAUGUGUAAGUAACUGUGCACAUCUUGACGGUACCUAAUCAGAAAGCCACGGCUAACUACGUG
rnacentral:rRNA from 1 species